rnacentral:rRNA from 1 species
CCUACGGGGGGCAGCAGCUAAGAAUAUUCCGCAAUGGACGAAAGUCUGACGGAGCGACGCCGCGUGGAUGACGAAGGCCGAAAGGUUGUAAAAUCCUUUUGUCGAUGAAGAAUAAGCAUGGGAGGGAAUGCCCAUGUGAUGACGUUAGUCGGCGAAUAAGCCCCGGCUAAUUACGUGCCAGCAGCCGCGGUAACACGUAAGGGGCGAGCGUUGUUCGGAAUUAUUGGGCGUAAAGGGCGCGUAGGCGGUCCUGUAAGCCCGGCGUGAAAACCUGGAGCUC